UCCUCUCGUCCAACCACAACCCAUGGGCGCCAAGCCUCUGAUUGAAUCGCCACCGAGAGCUAGAGGACAGGGAGACCCGCCGACCACCGCCGAUGACGAACCCGGCGUGUGCCGUCGUCGGGCUUUUGCGAUCCUGUUGGGGAGGCUUAGCUGGUCGCGCCGCGUGUGAAGAGAGCCUCUCUGGGCAAGAUUGUCAACCGGUUGGUGACCAAUUGCUCACCGGUCGUCCGUCUCUCUCACCAAGUCGCUGUGUGCCGCGGACGGCCCUGUCUGCGCCUGGAGCCACAGUGAGAAUACACUCGUCUAGUUCUCCUUACACUCUGGUACGUGUAGCACUGAAUAGAGGGUGUUUUAGUGCCCUAAAUCGUCGUGUGGGGUUUCGUCGGUGUGCUCUGCCGCGGGUGAGCUUCAUCGUGCCUGCAAUCGAGGUCCUGCCGUUGUGCCUGGGAGCCGAGGCAAAGCAGUGCGGCAAUGGCGCCUCAGCGCCCAGCCAUGGCGCCCCGGUGGCUGACCAUGCCCCUGGCCCACUCGCCACCGUACCUGCUCACCGGAAUUUGGGCGGCGGCGCGCCCUGUUCCUGACCGCAUGUUCCACCAGGAGGAAGAAGAGUUCCUGGCCGUAGGAUCUAUCGAGGGGCGUUCUGGAUUGAUCGUGACUAGGAUCAAUCCGGACCGUUGAAACAUCAACGCACGGAUAAGAUUAACUGGGGGCGUCCACUUUCAGGUGUUUAAAUCUGGGCGGCCGGGUGUCGAUCGGAUGGAUCAGAAUAGAUCUCGGGCAUGUUGGUUAUGAACCGGGGGAUCGUGAUCUGACGGUCCAUGUUGGAUACCGAUUCGAUGCCGUCCCGAUGUGAUCUGGGUCCUCCAUCUCUAAUCGGGUGGUCUGAGCUUAUCUGUACCCCUUCGCCGUGACUUUUAGCUAAAGAGCCCCUUGGUAACUUCAAAAUAAACCCGCCGUCCAACUCGGGGAUUUCUGAGUCUACGUAAAUCUUACGGUUUAGCCCCUGAUCUUUUUGAUAUUCGGUGCACAGUCCAGAGGGAAAUAAAAAUAGAGAAAUAAUUAGGGAAAUUGAUUUUUAAUAAAAAAUAAUUCUAGAAACUUGUAUAAUUCAUAUUUAAUUCAUUUUAGCUCCACAUUGAGUCAUUCCAGUUGCAAUAAUUUUGUAUUAAUAUUGUCUAUCAACUAGUAACACUGUUUAGCCAUGAAACUUGAAUUAAAAUUUUUCAUUUGGAAUAAUCUAUUCUAAGCACUAAAGAAUUUCAGAAAUUCGUAACUCAAUAACUGUAACUCUGUUUUGAUCCAUUAUAGUUGCAUUAGUCUCACAAUAAUAUUUAUUAUCAUAUGGUAACUUUGUUUUGUCAUGAAAUAUAGGUUAAAAUGUUGCACUUAGCAUAUUCUAUAUUUAACCACGUGGAUCUUUGGAAAACCAUAACUUCAUAAUCGUAGCCUCGAAUUUAGCGGUUCUCGAUCCCACGAUCUUGUAGCGACGCGUAUAUUAUUAUUAUUCAGUUUGUGCUUAUGUUUGAUGUGUUGUUAAUUUUGUCUAUACUAUGUUUGUUUGUAUUACUACGACUAGCGUGAGCGUGAGGUCACGAGUCAUCUGAAAAGCAAGCUGGUACCUGGAAUCUCAAGUCCCAGGCAAGUUGUGC
rnacentral:lncRNA from 1 species